AUUGAACGCUGGCGGCAUGCCUUACACAUACAAGUCGAACGGUAACAGGUCUUCGGAUGCUGACGAGUGGCGAACGGGUGAGUAAUACAUCGGAACGUGCCUAGUAGUGGGGGAUAACUACUCGAAAGAGUGGCUAAUACCGCAGGAGAACUACGGAUGAAAGCAGGGGAUGGCAAGACCUUGUGCUACUAUAGCGGCCGAUGGCAGAUUAGGUAGUGGGUGGGAUAAAAGCUUACCAAGCCGACGAUCUGUAGCUGGUCUGAGAGGACGAUCAGCCACACUGGGACUGAGACACGGCCCAGACUCCUACGGGAGGCAGCAGUGGGGAAUUUUGGACAAUGGGCGCAAGCCUGAUCCAGCAAUGCCGCGUGCAGGAUGAAGGCCUUCGGGUUGUAAACUGCUUUUGUACGGAACGAAAAGCCCCGGGUUAAUACCCUGGGGUCAUGACGGUACCGUAAGAAUAAGCACCGGCUAACUACGUGCCAGCCGCCGCAGUAA
rnacentral:rRNA from 1 species